rnacentral:ncRNA from 1 species
UAAACGUCUUUGAGCGGGAGAGUAAUGAGAGUGACUGAUAAAGUAGCGAGCCGGGAUAGGUGAAAGCCGGUAUAUUGGACUCUGAUGAAGCGCACCCAGGAGAUGGCUAUUCCAACGUCAUAAUGAAUCCUUGUUAUGAUCAGUAGAUUAGUCCGAUUGAUCUUCGUUAUAGAUCAUUAAGCGGAAUUACUUAUGAGAGGUUACACCUCUGUAUAAGAAUUCAACUAGAGUGGUACCACGGGAAUGUAAGCUCUCGUCUCUUAU